rnacentral:misc_RNA from 1 species
GAAAGAAGAGUUAGAACAGCUUGUGAUACGGCUUAUUCUAGAAAGUGUUUUGAAAGAAGAAUUUCAGCAUACAGCAUAUGCCACAAAUGCUUAUGUGAAAAUAGGACCAUUGGCAAAGCAGGUACUGCAAGGGAAGAUGACUGUCAAGCUUGAGGUUUCUAGUAAACAGAACAAGACUGGUAACAUGAAAAGAGUAAAACACAGCGUUACAUUGUCUGGACUGGAAUUUAAACUUGACAGGUUGCGGAAAGAACUCUCUUCAGGUCAUGGGACAACCCCUCAUUCUAUCUUGUCUGCUCAACAGAUGAGCAUGAUCAGUGCACGGAAACCAAAUUCAAUGGAAGAGCUGGAAAAGAUA